rnacentral:lncRNA from 1 species
GUUUUAAAUAUGUAUUUUACCCAGCGUACACUUUGAAUUUUACUCUAAAUUUCUUUGAAAUUUAAUUGGUAUGUUUUUUUGUUAUGUUUUCAUGCACUGUCUAUGAUUUUAGGCAGCGUGUGAACGGGACUUUUAUUUUGAUCUGUCAGUGACAUCACAUGGCUGGACCGCUCUCCUCUGGCUCAACAAAGGAACAAGAAACUGCGAAUAUCUGAAAUCCAUGUGACACUAUUAUCAAGAUGGCAUUUAUUAAAGAGGAGAUUGAAGACGUGAGCAUUUCAGAAACAUUCAGAGUGAAAAAUGAAGAUGCAGAGGAUGACACAGAAAAAAAAAUGAUUUCAAAGCCACCUCAUUAUCGAUUUUCUGGAGUUCAGCCAUCCAGCUAAACAAGACUGUCAACAUGCUCUGAGCAGGUACUUGAUAUCCUUUUCAAAAUAUCUUUAAAUGUUCAUUUUCAAAUUGUAACUUGUUUCAUCGUGCUGUCCUUUUUUCUUAGUUUUUUUUAACAGCACAUGUAAGUGUGUCAUGCUCUGUUCAGUUGAUGAUACUUCUCUCCUAUUCUCCGCUAAGCAGACAGAUGCUGUCACACCCCACAUACUCAUCAUCUGCAAAGAUCAACUGCCACUCAUUUUUACAAAAAUACACAUAAUGAUGGAUGUGAAGACAUCACAGGAAACUGGAAAAAUAUUUAAUUGGAACUUAGCCUUUGUUUCUAUUUGUAUUUGUGUGUCUAUCUGUUCUGUUAUAUUUCAUUUACUUAUUUACUCAGUCUUAAAUUUACAUUCAAGUGUAAUUUUUAUGCUUUCUUGUAAUGACUUUUUAGAGCAUUGUCAUUUUUGCUAUAAUUUCCUGUCAAUAAAAAAGCAUAAUUGACAUAACUUGCUGUCUUUUUUUU